rnacentral:rRNA from 1 species
UACGGAGAGUGCGAACGUUGUUCGGAUUCACUGGGCGUAAAGGGCACGUAGGCGGCUUGGCAAAUCGGUCGUGGAAUCCCGACGCUUACCGUCGGAACGGCGGCCGAAAAUACCGAGCUCGAGGGCGUGAGGGGUCACUGGAACUCCUGGUGAAGCGGUGAAAUGCGUAGAUAUCAGGAGGAACGCCGGAGGCGAAAAGCGAGUGACUGGCGCGUUCCUGACGCUGAGGUGCGAAAGCUAGGGGAGCAAACAGG